rnacentral:rRNA from 1 species
UACGUAGGGGGCAAGCGUUAUCCGGAUUUACUGGGUGUAAAGGGAGCGUAGGCGGUGAUGCAAGUCAGAAGUGAAAGCCCGCAGCUCAACUGCGGGACUGCUUUUGAAACUGUAUGACUAGUUUGCAGGAGAGGUAAGUGGAAUUCCUAGUGUAGCGGUGAAAUGCGUAGAUAUUAGGAGGAACACCAGUGGCGAAGGCGGCUUACUGGACUGUAAAUGACGCUGAGGCUCGAAAGCGUGGGGAGCAAACAGG